CCUACGGGGGACAGCAGUGAGGAAUAUUGGUCAAUGGACGAGAGUCUGAACCAGCCAAGUAGCGUGAAGGAUGACUGCCCUAGGGGUUGUAAACUUCUUUUAUAUGGGAAUAAAAUGUUCCACGUGUGGGAUUUUGUAUGUACCAUAUGAAUAAGGAUCGGCUAACUCCGUGCCAGCAGCCGCGGUAAUACGGAGGAUCCGAGCGUUAUCCGGAUUUAUUGGGGUUAAAGGGAGCGUAGGUGGAUUGUUAAGGCAGUUGUGAAAGUUUGCGGCUCAACCGUAAAAUUGCAGUUGAAACUGGCAGUCUUGAGUACAGUAGAGGUGGGCGGAAUUCGUGGUGUAGCGGUGAAAUGCUUAGAUAUCACGAAGAACUCCGAUUGCGAAGGCAGUUCACUGGACUGCAACUGACACUGAGGCUCGAAAGUGUGGGUAUCAAACAGGAUUAGAUACCCGAGUAGUC
rnacentral:rRNA from 1 species